GCCGGUGUAGCUCAGCUGGUAGAGCAACUGAUUUGUAAUCAGUAGGUCGCGGGUUCAAGUCCCGCCGCCGGCC
rnacentral:tRNA from 4 species